AUUGAACGCUGGCGGCAUGCCUUACACAUGCAAGUCGAACGGCAGCGGACCUUCGGGUGCCGGCGAGUGGCGAACGGGUGAGUAAUAUAUCGGAACGUACCUUUCAGUGGGGGAUAACGUAGCGAAAGUUACGCUAAUACCGCAUAUUCUGUGAGCAGGAAAGCAGGGGAUCGCAAGACCUUGCGCUGAUUGAGCGGCCGAUAUCAGAUUAGCUAGUUGGUGAGGUAAAGGCUCACCAAGGCGACGAUCUGUAGCGGGUCUGAGAGGAUGAUCCGCCACACUGGAACUGAGACACGGUCCAGACUCCUACGGGAGGCAGCAGUGGGGAAUUUUGGACAAUGGGCGCAAGCCUGAUCCAGCCAUGCCGCGUGAGUGAUGAAGGCCUUAGGGUUGUAAAGCUCUUUUACUGGGGAUGAUAAUGACAGUACCCAGAGAAUAAGCUCCGGCUAACUCCGUGCCAGCAGCCGCGGUAAAGUG
rnacentral:rRNA from 1 species